AUCUCUGCGUGACUUCCGCCAGCGUUUAGAGCGUUUUCGGGGUCCGAGUUGAAGAGCAAAACCAAGUGAAGGAAACUUCACUAAGUUCAGGGUGACAAGGGAGGAAGUACAGAGACUGCACUUUAAAUUCUGGAUGACAGACCUAUCAGGACUGAGUGGACCUUUGAGUGACAAGAUGGGGGUGUUCCAAAGAGACCAUGGCAGCCUGCAGCUAGGACUUUAAUAAACAGAGCGCUUAAAAAGCACUGUCUGGAUAUCUUCAGAGGGAAAAAGGAGAAAGUUAACUGAAUUGGUGACACUUCGGGUCUCUCACAGAGGAAGAGACCACCAAACCAACAGAAGCCACCAGGACAGCACACAGCCAUUCCAAAAUUCCAGACCAGGAUCAUUCCAGAAAAGCCUUACAUCUCAGUCCAGUAUAUGGAUGGUUUUGUAAGAUGACCUAUGAUUUUUCUGUUCCUCCUUCCUGCCCCUAACUUCAGAGAAACAGACCUAGAAAGAGGGAAGGAAGGAGUGAAAAAGCGUGCCAUACUUUAUCUUCUCCCCUUCUGUUUUAAACUAGACAAAUCUAUAUUUUAAUUAUUAUAAGUAACCAGAAAGUUAUAUGGUCUGGCCAGGAUGGCAUUAAAGAAAAUGAGAGAGAAAAGUUUAAGAUAGCAUGGUUGGAGACAAUAAGUAGAAGAAACCAAGUAGUUCAAGUUUUAUAACGCUCUAUCUUAUAAACACUCUUGAACCAAUAAUAAUGCUAUUACUGAAAUGCUACACACAAUUGAAGACUACUUGUUAGACCAAGACCUUAAAAACUUCUUUACUGAUUAUUCCCAAUGUGUGGCCCUGGUAAUCAUUGAAGAAUCAUUGUAUUGACUAUUAAACAUCUAGGGAUCACCUGUUUAAAUCAAGUUAACAAAACACUUACUUAACAAAUAUAUAUUGAUUGCCUAUUAUGAAGUAGAUGCUAUAGUAGGUGCUGGCAGUAUAAACAUGAAAAGAGACAUUGUGUGUGCAUAUUAAUAUACAGCAAAUUAAACUUCAGCCAGAGAAGUACUUUACUAGAAGGUUGAUAGAAGUGUGGUGGUAGCUUGCAGGAGGAAGCAGUUAGCCUCCUUGGAAAUGAGUAAUCUUCACAGAAAGUAUGACAUUUGACCUGCUUCUUGGAGAAGAUGCAUAUUAAACCUAUUAAAUCCAUGUCAGCCUUUAACACCUUUGCUCAGAUUAGUUUCUCGAGCUGUUUUCCCACCUGGUGAGCAGAUAAGAGCAGGACAGGAAAGUUCUGAUGAAAGGAAGAAGUGCCAGAGAGAGAAGGCCUUGCAAGCAAAGAAGCCUGACAGGCAGGAGCCCCUGAGUAUCCUAAGGAGAAGUACCAGCGAUUUAGGGAAGAAAAUUGCUGCCAGAAGUGCAGGAAAUAAAAAUUCUGACCUAGAUCAUUUUA
rnacentral:lncRNA from 1 species